rnacentral:rRNA from 1 species
GGGGAAUAUUGCACAAUGGGCGAAAGCCUGAUGCAGCGACGCCGCGUGAGGGAUGACGGCCUUCGGGUUGUAAACCUCUUUCAGUAGGGAAGAAGCCUUCGGGUGACGGUACCUGCAGAAGAAGCGCCGGCUAACUACGUGCCAGCAGCCGCGGUAAUACGUAGGGCGCAAGCGUUGUCCGGAAUUAUUGGGCGUAAAGAGCUCGUAGGCGGUUUGUCGCGUCUGCCGUGAAAUCCUCCGGCUUAACUGGAGGCCUGCGGUGGGUACGGACAGACUAGAGUGUGGUAGGGGAGACUGGAAUUCCUGGUGUAGCGGUGGAAUGCGCAGAUAUCAGGAGGAACACCGGUGGCGAAGGCGGGUCUCUGGGCCACUACUGACGCUGAGGAGCGAAAGCAUGGGGAGCGAAC